GUAGAAGGGCUUCUCUCCAUUGGCAGGCAUAAUGACUUUGGCUUUCAUGUUCUGCCAAAGGAGAGUUGCCCUUCAUCUAGU
rnacentral:pre_miRNA from 1 species